GGCGGGUCCGAAGGUACUGAGAUCUCACAACGAUUGCUUAGGUCAAUUAUUGGUCACCUAUUUGUCUACCCCCCCUCACUACUGCACUUGACUAGUCUUAA
rnacentral:Y_RNA from 1 species